UACGUAGGGGGCAAGCGUUGUCCGGAUUUAUUGGGCGUAAAGAGCGUGUAGGCGGCCAGGUAGGUCUGGUGUGAAAACUCGAGGCUUAACCUCGAGAUGUCAUCGGAAACCAUCUGGCUAGAGUCCGGAAGAGGAGAGUGGAAUUCCUGGUGUAGCGGUGAAAUGCGCAGAUAUCAGGAAGAACACCGAUGGCGAAGGCAGCCUCCUGGGCCAGCACUGACGCUCAUGCACGAAAGCGUGGGGAGCAAACAGG
rnacentral:rRNA from 1 species